UCCACUGUCUACUACCCAUGGCCUUAAUAUAGAAUAAUCAUAGACUGGUCCACUGCAUACUACCCAUGGCCUUAAUAUAGAAUAAUCAUGGACUGGUCCACUGCAUACUACCCAUGGCCUUAAUAUAGAAUAAUCAUAGACUGAUCCACUCUCUACUACCCAUGGCCUUAAUAUAGAAUAAUCAUAGACUGGUCCACCGCCUAUUACCCAUGGCCUUAAUAUAGAAUAAUCAUAGACUGAUCCAAUCAUCACAUAAUGUAUGCCAUUUAGCGUUCAGUUAUGUAUGAGUGGCGGUGCCAGCCCCAGGCUAUACCGACCGAGACACACACUUCUUCUGUGCACUGUCAAGACAAGCUGAUUGUACAAUAGUUUCUAAAGACAAGCUGUCACACCCUGAUCUAUUUCACCUGUCUUGUGCUUGUCUCCACCCCCCUCCAGGUGUCGCCCAUUUUCCCCAUUAUCCCCUGUGUUUUUAUACCUGUUCUCUCUGUUUGUCUGUUGCCAGUUCAUCUCGUCUUGUCAAGCCUGCCAGUGUUCUUCCCAUACUCCUGUUUUCUCUCUAGUCCCUGUUUUAUAGUUUUCCCGAUUUUGACCGUUCUGCCUGCCCUGCCCGCUGUUCUGUACCUUGUAACGCUGCCCUGGAUUCCUCACCUCUGCCUGCCCUGACCGCUGUUCUGUACCUUGUAACACUGCCCUGGAUUACUGACCUCUGCCUGCCCUGCCCGCUGUUCUGUACCUUGUAACACUGCCCUGGAUUACUGACCUCUGCCUGCCCUUGACCAAUCGUUUGUUUUUGUAAUAAACUUUUGUUACUUAGAAUUGUCUGCAUCUGGGUCUUAUCCUGAGGUCUGAUCAUAUGAACUGGCCACUAUCAGACCUCAUGUCUCAAGGAUUAAAAAUCCUUCAUUAACCAGUUUCCUCCCCUGAAUCUACACUGAUUGGAGUGGAUUUAACAAGUGACAUCAAUAAGGGAUUAUAGCUUUCACCUGUAUUAAGAUGGUCAGUCUAUGUCAUGGAAAGAGCAGUUGUUUUAAUGUUUUGUAUACUCAGUGUAUGUCGCAAGUAAAAGUCUUGGGUGGCGAGUUGAUACUAUUCCAAGUCUGGAAAGUUAAAACCCCCCUCAGAUUCAGGGACAUGUAAAACGUUCUUAUUUAUUCUAUGGGUUUUAUAUGAAGUCUGUUAUGGCUGGGUUUACUUUUGUAAAGAAUGUCUUCAGUGGGGUAAUUGGUACUCCCAUUAAAUCAAUAUGAAACCUUUUGGAGCCAUGCCAUUCUAAAAAGGUUUGUUCUACCUGUAAGAUUUAUGGGGAGGUAAUUAAAUUUACCUAGAUCUGCUUUCAUUUUUUUGAGUAAUGAGAUAAAGUUAUCUUUAUUUAUAUUUGUUGUUUGUUGUCACUUAUUAAGCAUUCUAUAAGUAUUUUAUAUUUUUUGUAGUAAACUUAAAGGUUUGCUGUAGAUUUUUCCUAUUGACAUUAAUUCCACGUUCAUUUUAAAUCCUGAGAUUUAAUACAGAUGUUGUUUUUAACAAGGGGGUCACUGAGUUUUCAGUAUUAGAGUCAGGUAUAUCAGGAGAUCGUCAGCAGAUAAGUUUAGUUUAUAUUCAUGUUUACCAAUACUGGUACCUGUUACAUUUGGAUCCUGUCUAAUUCUUACUGUUCAAUUGCCAGUCCAAACAGGAGGGGGGAGAAGGGACGUCCCUGCCUUGUGCCCCUUUCUAAAGAAAUUUCAUCAGAUAAUGGCUUAGUUUUGUAUAUUUUAGCUUUAUGAUUUUUGUAUAAUAUUCGUAUGAAAUGUAUUAUUUCAGCUGGAGAGAUGAAUGCUUCCAAAGUUUUUAAUAUAAGAGUCCACACAAGACAGUCAAAAGCCUUUUCAGCAUCAACAGUCAUGUUUUUUUUUGCAUAUUGUAUAAUACUAAAACAUGUUAUUGUAUUUGUUUGUAAGCCUUUUUUAAUAAACCCUUAAUAUGUAUCAAGUA
ensembl:lncRNA